rnacentral:rRNA from 1 species
AUUGAACGCUGGCGGCAGGCCUAACACAUGCAAGUCGAGCGGAUGAAGGGAGCUUGCUCCUGGAUUCAGCGGCGGACGGGUGAGUAAUGCCUAGGAAUCUGCCUGGUAGUGGGGGAUAACGUCCGGAAACGGGCGCUAAUACCGCAUACGUCCUGAGGGAGAAAGUGGGGGAUCUUCGGACCUCACGCUAUCAGAUGAGCCUAGGUCGGAUUAGCUAGUUGGUGGGGUAAAGGCCUACCAAGGCGACGAUCCGUAACUGGUCUGAGAGGAUGAUCAGUCAACACGGAACCUGGGACACGUCCCAGACCCCUAGGGAGGCAGCAGUGGGGAAUAUUGGACAAUGGGCGAAAGCCUGAUCCAGCCAUGCCGCGUGUGUGAAGAAGGUCUUCGGAUUGUAAAGCACUUUAAGUUGGGAGGAAGGGCAGUAAGUUAAUACCUUGCUGUUUUGACGUUACCAACAGAAUAAGCACCGGCUAACUUCGUG